AGGAAUGUGUAGAUUAUAUAAACCAAAGGUGUGUCCUAGUGCCAUUAAUCUUCUAGUGAUGCAGAUUCUAUCCAACUCGAGUCAUGGAUCUGGAAUUCUGGAAUUGGUUCAGCGAAGUCUAGAUAGUUUUGGAAUUGAAGUAUUACUUUCUAUUGAUGAGGCGAUUUCUGUUUAAAUUCAUCUUAUUAGAUGAAUAUAAUUUCGUCAUUGGAUAUGGAAGAGGUGGUGGCACAAAAAGACGACUUCCCGAUAACCUCAUAUUGAAAAUGUACGCGGAAUGUGAAUGUUGAGCAAUGAAGCGGCUGAAGCUAUGCUGACGUAAAGAAACGUGCAACAGAGACCAAGAUACAAAAGUUCUGGUGGAGUCCUUUCACAUUGAGACCGCUUUUCCAAAGGCAACUGAAAUGACCCAGUGAGAAAUGGGAUACAUAUUGACUUCAGGAAUUUAAUUCCUGAAGUCAAACAACCAAAAGCAACCCUGAGGAGGGACUGAACAAACAAGAGCUAAAUUAUCCAGUUUGAAAAAAGGUAUUCUACUUUUAAUACUUUAAAGGGUUGUGAAUGCUGAGCAAGUUGAAGCUUUGCUAUCUUCAAGAGACCUUGACGCAAAAGCUCGGGCUCUUUUAGGCCUCUCGUAUUCAGCCCAACAUCCAGAAGGCAACAGAAAUUAUAUCCAGUUUGAAGUGACGAGACUCGUUCACUUCAGGAAAAGAGGAGGAAACCUUUAGGAGGGAUGCGCAAUACGACAACUUUCAAGAGAAAUACGUGGUGAAACUUCAGGGAAGGAGGAAGGAAAACAUGGUAGAGGAAUGAAGGAUGUUGACAAUUUUGAAGAAAAAAUCAAGCAAAAUACUUUGGGGUGAAGAAAAACCACGAGGAAAGGAGGAAGAAAAACCACGAAAA